GUCCCUGUUGCACAAUGGAUAGCGUGUUGGAUCCAAAAUCCAAAGAUUGUGGGUUCGAAUCUCACCUGGGAUG